rnacentral:rRNA from 1 species
CGGACGGGUGAGUAACGCGUGGGUAACCUGCCUCAUUCAGGGGGAUAACAGUUAGAAAUGGCUGCUAAUACCGCAUAAGACCACAGUACUGCAUGGUACAGUGGUAAAAACUCCGGUGGUAUGAGAUGGACCCGCGUCUGAUUAGGUAGUUGGUGAGGUAACGGCCCACCAAGCCGACGAUCAGUAGCCGACCUGAGAGGGUGACCGGCCACAUUGGGACUGAGACACGGCCCAG